rnacentral:piRNA from 1 species
UGUGCAGCCUGACAAUGGAAACUCAUUC